rnacentral:rRNA from 1 species
GUUAAGCGACUAAGCGUACACGGUGGAUGCCCUGGCAGUCAGAGGCGAUGAAGGACGUGCUAAUCUGCGAUAAGCGUCGGUAAGGUGAUAUGAACCGUUAUAACCGGCGAUUUCCGAAUGGGGAAACCCAGUGUGUUUCGACACACUAUCAUUAACUGAAUCCAUAGGUUAAUGAGGCGAACCGGGGGAACUGAAACAUCUAAGUACCCCGAGGAAAAGAAAUCAACCGAGAUUCCCCCAGUAGCGGCGAGCGAACGGGGAGGAGCCCAGAGCCUGAAUCAGUAUGUGUGUUAGUGGAAGCGUCUGGAAAGGCGCGCGAUACAGGGUGACAGCCCCGUACACAAAAAUGCACAUAUUGUGAGCUCGAUGAGUAGGGCGGGACACGUGGUAUCCUGUCUGAAUAUGGGGGGACCAUCCUCCAAGGCUAAAUACUCCUGACUGACCGAUAGUGAACCAGUACCGUGAGGGAAAGGCGAAAAGAACCCCGGCGAGGGGAGUGAAAAAGAACCUGAAACCGUGUACGUACAAGCAGUGGGAGCACGCUUAGGCGUGUGACUGCGUACCUUUUGUAUAAUGGGUCAGCGACUUAUAUUCUGUAGCAAGGUUAACCGAAUAGGGGAGCCGAAGGGAAACCGAGUCUUAACUGGGCGUUAAGUUGCAGGGUAUAGACCCGAAACCCGGUGAUCUAGCCAUGGGCAGGUUGAAGGUUGGGUAACACUAACUGGAGGACCGAACCGACUAAUGUUGAAAAAUUAGCGGAUGACUUGUGGCUGGGGGUGAAAGGCCAAUCAAACCGGGAGAUAGCUGGUUCUCCCCGAAAGCU